AUUGAACGCUGGCGGCAUGCCUUACACAUGCAAGUCGAACGGCAGCACGGGGGCGAACCCUCGGUGGCGAGUGGCGAACGGGUGAGUAACAUAUCGGAACGUGCCCUGGAGUGGGGGAGUAACUAGUCGAAAGACUAGCUAAUACCGCAUACGAUCUACGGAUGAAAGUGGGGGAUCGCAAGACCUCAUGCUCGUGGAGCGGCCGAUAUCUGAUUAGCAGUUGGUGGGGUAAAGGCCUACCAAGGCAUCGAUCAGUAGCUGGUCUGAGAGGACGACCAGCCACACUGGGACUGAGACACGGCCCAGACUCCUACGGGAGGCAGCAGUGGGGAAUUUUGGACAAUGGGGGCAACCCUGAUCCAGCAAUGCCGCGUGA
rnacentral:rRNA from 1 species